rnacentral:piRNA from 1 species
UUGACCAAUGGGAAUAGCUCUGUAU